rfam:Oryza nivara chromosome 12, whole genome shotgun sequence.
UUUAAAUGCAACCAUGAGUUUCCUUGCCUAAUUUUGAUCGUCCUCUUAUUUGAAAUUUUUUUAUAAUUAGUAUUUUUGUUGUUAUGAGAUGAUAAAAUAUAAAUAGUACUUUACUUGUGACUUAUGUUUUAAGUUUUUUUAAAAAGAUUUUAAAUAAGACGGACAGACGGUUAAAAAAGUUGGGCGCUGAAAACUAAGGCCUCAUUUAAA